rnacentral:rRNA from 1 species
CCUACGGGAGGCAGCAGUGGGGAAUAUUGGACAAUGGGCGAAAGCCUGAUCCAGCAAUGCCGCGUGAGUGAUGAAGGCCUUAGGGUUGUAAAGCUCUUUUACCAGGGAUGAUAAUGACAGUACCUGGAGAAUAAGCUCCGGCUAACUCCGUGCCAGCAGCCGCGGUAAUACGGAGGGAGCUAGCGUUGUUCGGAAUUACUGGGCGUAAAGCGUACGUAGGCGGUUAUUCAAGUCAGAGGUGAAAGCCUGGAGCUCAACUCCAGAACUGCCUUUGAAACUAGAUAGCUAGAAUCUUGGAGAGGUGAGUGGAAUUCCGAGUGUAGAGGUGAAAUUCGUAGAUAUUCGGAAGAACACCAGUGGCGAAGGCGACUCACUGGACAAGUAUUGACGCUGAGGUACGAAAGCGUGGGGAGCAAACAGGAUUAGAUACCCUGGUAGUCCACGCCGUAAACGAUGAUAACUAGCUGUUCGGGCUCUACGAGCUUGAGUGGCGCNGCUACGACAUUAAGUUAUUCCGUCCGUCGGGAGGUACGGUCGGCGAAGAAUUAAACUAACGAAAGGAAAGUUAGUACGGCGUGAGACGUGCCGAACGGACGACGACGAGGGAGGAGG